UUCAAGUUGUUAAGGAAGAGGGGUGGUUUUCCCCCUUGUGUUUUGGACACCAGAGCACUUUCUGUUCCAAGAUCGAGCAGCUCUCAGUGGGCCAGGGAACACUGCAGGCCAGCGCAGCAGCGGAGAUGGCUAAACAACAGACGGGAUGAGCCCGUCAGCCAGGAAGCAUCACAGGCUCCGUUCUUCAGGUAUUAAAAAAAGCUGCCUUGAAUAUAGACUUGGAGGACUGCGACAGACGACGGAGCAGCACAUCUUCCACAGACCAUCUGCCUGCUCCCACUGGGGACGGAGGUGGCGGCGAGAAGCGGUGCCUCGUGCUCUGGCAGGCAGGAGCUCGGGGCAGAGCUCGCUCUGCGCCCCGCGGCCGGGACGGUGGCGAUGGGUGCCUGCGUCCCUCCUGCUGCCGCCCCCGGCUGCGGGGCCGUGAGGGGCAGGCGGCGCGGGGACAGAGCUGGAUUGUGCUGGGCAUGAAUCGCCCCAUUCUUGUGCGUCUCCAGCAGAUGCCGGCAGCCUGGCAGAGGGCAUCUCCCUCCUGCUUUAAUAGAUCUGCGCUUGCCGGUGCGCCCAGAUAGAUUGCAGUGUCUCCUGCCUGGUUCCCAGCCCCGUAGCUCCAAGCCUCCUCUAACCCCAGAGGCGCGCUGAGCCUGGAGCUGUGAUUUCAGGGUCCAGGCUGGCACAGCUGCACUUGCACAGCCUCGGCAGCGUGCACAGCCUCACACUUGCUUGGACUUUUUGGGGUGUUGAGGAUGAGGUGGGGUAUCCUCCCCCAGGGAGCAGCAAAGCUUUGGUUUGAGGGCACAAGGCACAGCUGCGUAGGAUGGGGAGGUGUUGGUGGGGACGGCUGGGCAGCAGCUGCGGUGCCAGAUCUGUCCCCCUGCCAUCCUCCAGCCCACACAUCUGCGGGGCAAGGAAAAGUCUGGUUAUUUACAGCCUCAGCCUGGGCAUUUUCUAAACCCCUUUACUGAUGUGAUUUCCUCUGGACCUUUGACCAGCUUUGAACUGGGUGAUACAGAGCACAUUACAAAUUCACUUUUCCAACAGCCAGCAUUUUAUAUUUUUUUGCCUUUCUCCUUUAAAUUACUCAGCACUGAUCAUGCUGAAUUAAUCUAACUGGUAAUUUAUCCUUUCUGCGCUUUGUAAAUUAAAUAUUAGGGCAGGGUGCAGUCAUUAGCAAUGACUAACUACCCAGCAAACACUUGUGGCAUUCUGCUAACCCAGCAAAUCCGUUUCCAAAAACGUGUAUUUUCUAGUGGGAGAGAAGCAUUGCACGGUGCUCCCAAAUGAUGGUUCAUGUUUUAUUACGACAAGCUGGCUUUAAAACACAUCAUCUGCUUGAGGCAAUCGCUGCUCCCUCGGGUUGCUUCGGAUGGGUGCUGCCGCUCCCCCCCCUGCUGCUCCCCAGUGGUGUCCGGGUGCGGAUGCUUGGGGCAGACCUUGCUUUUGGGUGGCCCCACGGGGCUCCCCAUCAGGAGACGCAAGCGGGAAGCACGAGCAGCCCCGCUGCCCUGCGGCGUGCUCAGCGGGUGCCCGAGGCUCCAUGGACACGGGUGGGAUGAAGGUCCUCCUCCUUGCAGGAGAUACACCUUGGUUGUGCUAACGUCGUGCUGCCAGACCAGAAUAUUCCCAGGAAAGGCAUGAGACGAUGGGACGAGAGCUCCAGAUGAGCCCCUGAGGUCCUGCUGCACGGUGCUGGCGGUCCCCAGCACUUCAUGGAGCCGUGCAUCCGCUCGUGGCUUUCCCAGCACAGCUGUGCUCGUGCCACUCAUGUCCCAUUCCUGCUGGAAAUAUGAGGGCCCUUGUGACCCCUGUCCCCCCCAGCGCAUCCUUCACCUCCUGCCACUGCCUGGCCAAAACGUCUGUGCUGGCUGCAAGGGACAAGGCAGCUUUUUCAACUCCUCCAACAUUUUGCAGUGACCUGGCUUCCCUUGGGGGCACAUCAUGCCACUGUCCUGCCCCUUGGCACAGGUGGGCUUGCCAGGAACUGGCAAGGGCUGCGAAGCGAUGGAGAAAGCCUGGAGCUCAGCAUCAGCACAGCUUUUCUCCCAGCCUCAGUGAAGCCUCAUGCAUGUCAAGAUCUCAGUUCAAGAGCACAGUAGCCGAAUGGGACCACGUUGCCUGUGCCAAAAUCAGAGGCUGCUGCUAUUUCUCCUCCCAGGACAAGGCAGUGCCUGCAGACAGAGGCCAGCACGCCGAGACGGGCCCACAGCCACCAGCAUCGGGGGGAUGGAGCUGGGGACCAGCAGGCUCGAGACUAUCCUGGGAAGCAAAGCUUUGCAGCCGUGAUGCUCUUUUAAUAUUCUGUCUUGGGGGCAUGGUAAAAAUAGACAUUUGGGAUGCAUUAUUAUUGCUGGAGUUUUAUUGAACGCUGUUUAUUGUUUUCAGAUGCAAUAAACCUAGCAGGGGAACCCAAGAGACUGAUGGAUCUAAAUAUUCUUCAAGCAAGCCCCAGCUCCCCCGCUGAGCUGCGGCCCCAAUAAUUACCCCCGGAUCAGCUGCAAGCCGAUGGUAAUUAAGGCACAAUUACGGAUGGCUUGGCUGUUACCACUGGCAAAAGCCUCCCUGGGUGAAUCCACCUUGUUGGAUCGAUUCUCACCACGAAGGUAACCCCAUUGCCACAUAUGCCGAGACACACGGCACGCGGGGAGUAAGUGGCUUAGGGGAUAAUGCACACAUCCUACCAGAAGUUACCUGGGUGCUGCUGGGCUCGGUGGAAGCAAGCACUGCUGGUGAUAAUCAGCAGGGAACCAAGGCAGCCGUGGUGGCUGCAGCCAUUUGGCGGUCACAUCUUUGUGGUCUCUUAAUUCAUUCCCCUGCUGUUCCAUUUUCCAAAACUAUAUAUAUAUAUUUUUUUCUUUAGAGCUUUGCCAUUGGUGUUGGCUGUUUUCUGAGAGAGCAGAGAACGAGGUAAGGCGGCUCUUCAAAUAUUGAUGCUGUUUGUCAGUUAGCCCUGGCAACGUCAGUGCCGUCAGCUCAGCGGGUAUUUUAUCAGUGAGCGUGGUUGGCCCUGGACACAUUGGUCUUCGGAUGGAGACAGUGCCCUCCAGGCUUUGGCCUCUUUCUGGCCCUCGCGAUAAAGAGGAAUAAACGUGUCUGGGCUGCACCCUGCCUCCAGCAGGAGCUGCCUGCUGGCAGCCUGUGCUCCGGAGCCAACAGUUCAGGUUAUCUGUUUGGAAGUUAGCAUUAAUAUUGCUGAUUGUCUCAGGGCCUGGCAAAAACAGCCACUGCUGAGCUCGGCGUGCUGCUGGGAACGGGACAAGGCAGGGAUGGACGGACGGAUCCCAGCGG